rnacentral:rRNA from 1 species
GAUGAACGCUAGCGGCAGGCUUAACACAUGCAAGUCGAGGGGUAGAGUUAGCUUGCUAACUUGAGCCCGGCGCACGGGUGCGUAACGCGUAUGCAAUCUACCUUGUACAGAGGGAUAGCCCAGAGAAAUUUGGAUUAAUACCUCAUAGUAUCUUCGGAAGGCAUCUUCUGAUUAUUAAAGUUCCAAUGGUACAAGAUGAGCAUGCGUCCCAUUAGCUAGAUGGUAAGGUAACGGCUUACCAUGGCAACGAUGGGUAGGGGUCCUGAGAGGGAGAUCCCCCACACUGGUACGCAGACGCGGACCAGACUCCUACGGGAGGCAGAAGUGAGGAAUAUUGGUCAAUGGGCGCAAGCCUGAACCAGCCAUGCCGCGUGCAGGAAGACGGUCCUAUGGAUUGUAAACUGCUUUUAUACGGGAAGAAACACUGCUACGUGUAGCAGCUUGACGGUACCGUAAGAAUAAGCAUCGGCUAACUCCGUGCCAGCCGCCGCUGUAAAAC